rnacentral:rRNA from 1 species
AUUGAACGCUGGCGGCAUGCCUUACACAUGCAAGUCGAACGGCAGCACGGGAGCAAUCCUGGUGGCGAGUGGCGAACGGGUGAGUAAUAUAUCGGAACGUGCCCGGUCGUGGGGGAUAACGUAGCGAAAGCUACGCUAAUACCGCAUACGAUCUACGGAUGAAAGCGGGGGGAUCGCAAGACCUCGCGCGAUUGGAGCGGCCGAUAUCAGAUUAGGUAGUUGGUGAGGUAAAGGCUCACCAAGCCGACGAUCUGUAGCUGGUCUGAGAGGACGACCAGCCACACUGGGACUGAGACACGGCCCAGACUCCUACGGGAGGCAGCAGUGGGGGAAUUUUGGGACAAUGGGCGCAAGCCUGAUCCAGCAAUGCCGCGUGCAGGAUGAAGGCCUUCGGGUUCGGUUAACG